rnacentral:rRNA from 1 species
GAUGAACGCUGGCGGCGUGCCUAACACAUGCAAGUCGAACGAAACUUCUUUAUCUCCGAGUGCUUGCACUCACCGAUACAGAGUUGCUUGGCGAACGGGCGAGUAACCCGUCGGCAACCUGCCCUAAAGAGGGGGAUAAUACUUGGACGCAGGUGCUAACACCGCAUAACCAUCGUUACUGCAUGGUACCUAUGUAUAAGGUGGCUAUACUACCGCUCUUGGAUGGGUACCCGGCGCAUUAGCUUGUUGGUCGGGAAAAGGCUUACGAUAGCAGGGAUGCGAAGCGGAAAUGAGAGGGAGGACGGCUAGAUUGUGAGUGAGACACGGCCCAAACACCGGCGGGAGGCAGCAGUAGAGAAUCUUCCACAAUGCGGGAGAGCCUGAUAGAGCAACGCCGCGGGAGGGAAGAUGGAGUACGGAUCGGAGAGCCCUGUUGUUAGAAAAGAAAGUGCGUGAGAGUAACUGUGCAGAUAAUGACAGUACCGAAACAGAAAGCCACGGCUAACUACGUG